rnacentral:rRNA from 1 species
GUGGGGAAUAUUGGACAAUGGGCGCAAGCCUGAUCCAGCCAUGCCGCGUGAGUGAUGAAGGCCUUAGGGUUGUAAAGCUCUUUCAGUGGGGACGAUAAUGACGGUACCCACAGAAGAAGCCCAGGCUAACUUCGUGCCAGCAGCCGCGGUAAUACGAAGGGGGCUAGCGUUGUUCGGAUUUACUGGGCGUAAAGCGCACGUAGGCGGAUCGUUAAGUCGGGGGUGAAAUCCUGGAGCUCAACUCCAGAACUGCCUUCGAUACUGGCGAUCUUGAGUCCGGAAGAGGUGAGUGGAACUCCUAGUGUAGAGGUGGAAUUCGUAGAUAUUAGGAAGAACACCAGUGGCGAAGGCGGCUCACUGGUCCGGUACUGACGCUGAGGUGCGAAAGCGUGGGGAGCAAACAGGAUUAGAUACCCGUGUAGUCC